CGAGCUUGCCUGUGCAGAGCCUGCUGCUGCCUGAGGACCGAGACUUAACCAACUGAAUAGCUGGAUGAAAUCAUUAGAAGUGUAAGUCAGCUAAAAAUUGGUGCCAGAUGGACCGGUGUGGACUAGCUGCUAUGGGGUUCCAGCCUGAGCAGGCCUCAGCCCACGGAAGGAGGAUGGUGAGCUUCCACAAGCACACACUCGUCCCUACAGCCGCCAUGGAAUGCACCUCAGAGAGGUUCAAAGGCAGAGCCAGCACCUAAAACUGACUCCACACCACCGGGCCUGAUCUGUGUUCUGGGGGCUCCAACCUGCCGGAGAGAAGACUGAGGGGGAGACGGAGCUCCAGAUCCAGAAAAGCAGCAAAACCAGACAAGUGGCGCCAUGGCCGCCUCAGGACCAGCUGCAUUGGCUAAUGACCCACUGCCCUGACACAGACCAGUCACCACCCUGAAAGAGCACACCUGGAAAGCUGGUGAAUCUUCUAUUAAGACCCUCUCCUGAGACCUCCCCUGAGAUUUACACCCACAAGAGAGAGAUAAAUACGCUCAGGAUGAAGGACCCGCGCCUGCUCUUCCCCAGGGGAGCCAUUCCCUUUCUCCUUCUUUCCUCUAAGGGGCCCUAUGAGACUUGCCACCAGGGGAGCAAUGGGCAGCGGCAGCUCAUCCAUGGCUAACCCCUGAACCUGUCUUCAAGGCCCCCUUUUCUCUGACUUCUCAGUGAGCCAAAGCAGCCCAGCCUGGGCUCUCCCGUUGCUUCUUCUGUGCCCUUCCUUGUUUCUCCGUCCUAAACAUAUUUGUGGUGUGGCCAAUAAAUUCUUACUUACUUUACUACA